GUUGCAGUGGAAACAUUUUUCCUUGUCAUUAGCCUUUUUCUUAUGAACUUCCUUCUUAGGCUUCUUGUCUUUCUUCUACUUCUUUACAGGCUUCUUUUUCUUCCAAGUAGACUUUCUCUUGAAACCAGAAGUUAGUUCAGCAGCCAAAAUAGAGCCCUUUGAAUCUUGCAAGGCUCCCUCAGCAGUUACCAACAUAUUCAAAAGUUCAGUC
rnacentral:lncRNA from 1 species